CUUCAUCCGUGCAAAGACGUGCAUACUUGCACAGUAUAUUGACAAGUAUAUGUCUAUCCAUUAUCUAUAUCGAUUGUCGAUCGAUACCUGAGAGUGCACUUUUAUAUCUUUAUGAUAAAUUACCGAUACGUGCGGGAGAAUUUUCUGACUUCGGUGAUCCUUUGUGAUAGAGAUACUUCACUGCUAAGUGCGUGGGAACUUUACACACAUUGAUUAACUAUAAUUUACGAUGCCUAGGAGAAGACGUCCUGACUUAGGUUGUUGAAGUCGGUAAAAUGUGCGAAGAGAUACCUUAAGUGCUAAUCGCACUGAUGACCGGAGAGAAACAGAUCAAGAAAAUAGUCUGUUUUUUAGUUUCGACUUGUCUGUAGCUGUUAGCCCUAAUGGCUUCACAGUGUUACCGGGAGGGGUGGGUGGCCCGAUGGGACCUACCCGUUAAAUUCAGGCCUGAAAUGCCUGGGGGUACGGAAAUAGUUGUAUUGCUAUAGCUGAACUGCAUUCUUUAUUCAGUGAGAAUAAAGUUGAUAGGCUUAGAAUGCAACAAGUUUGUGCACACACAAACACAACAUUAUGGAGCACAAUAUUAUGAAAUUGAGUGAUGCCACAAAUUCAGUGCUCAUGGACGCUGGAACUGGCAAUAGAUUAUUGUACUGACAAAUCAGUAACAAUUGGAGACAUUACAGUAAUAUGUAAAUACUGUAAGGUGUUAAAAUACAUUGCUGAGUCUACUGGAUUAUGUUGUGCUGAAUGCUAAGUAAAAUUGCCACAAUCGGUCACACCACCACAUCCCUUACACUAUUUAAUUUCUGGGAUUGGUAAAGAUUCUAAGCAUUUCUUGGCCAACAUUCAGAAAUAUAACAGCUGUUUCCAGAUUAGAUUGUUUUUGCUACACAUAUUAUACAAGACAAUUUCAUGCCCACUUUCAAUGUGUUACAGCCUAAUAUUUUUUUUAUAUGUAAGUUUGUAUUAAUAUUAAUUGGAAAUAAUUAUUGGAGAAAUGUUAAAAAAUAACAGAUACAGAGACAAAUUUAUCACUUACUGAGGUCGCUGUUACCCUACCAGUUGAAGAUCAUACACUUCUACAAAAUUGUUUAAUGGGCAAUUCAGAUGUGGAAGUUGAUAAGUGUUGUGCUCACAAUCCCACAGUGAAGAGAACUACUGCUCAUGAACUAGAAAUGUUUUUCAUCAGAACAACAAUUUUGUGAGCUUGUUCAAAAUAGUUUCUAAUCAGAUGCCGUCUGAAAUCCAUAAUAUUGUCUCUCAAGCUCACUCAACACCUGCCGGUGACCACACGAGCAGCUCUAGUUCAGCCGCUAUUGAUGUUCUCUAAGAUGCGUUGCCAACCUUGAUGAAGAGAGAGGGAGAGGAAAGGGCAGAAAAAAGGUAAAGGGCAAGCGGAUCUCUCACUCGUCGGACGAAAUGCAGUCAUUAGUGACUACUCCACGCUGAUCUUCUGUGUGAGUGUAGUGCUUCCCCGGUCGAGCUGGCACAUGUUUGAACUAUGGAAAUAAUCAAGCGCCCGGGAGCGCGGGCAGAUCACGUGGUUCUCACUUGCUGGUGUAGCGGUCAUCCUCACUACAACCUCACGGUGGCAGAUCUACAAUACCUAUAUACACAUUCAUAAUCUUGGACCCCUCCCCGAGGGGCAUCUCAUCCACCCUCCAGUAGAGGCGACAGGAUCAAACCGUGUGAAGAGCGGAAGGAGGUGCGUGCGGGGGGGGGGGAUCCCCUGAAGAUGACCUGAAAUCCACCGACUGCUAUCGCCGCCACGCCAGCUCCUACGAUUGGGAUCGGUUUCCUCCGGUUCUAGUCAGUGGCCUUCUAGAAAGUUCCAGUUUCACAGAGAUUACUGCUCUCAAAAUUUCCACGCUUGUCAGCAUGAUAACAACUAAGGCAGGCGAAUAUCGGUCGUGUCAAAUCUCGCACUAAGUCUAUCUUUAAAAUUACAGACUAAGACUAUUACUCACUUGGUGACUCCUGUUCAAUGUUAGAUAAUAAAGUGUCCGAUGCUUGUUGCUUACAUUUACAGCUCGCUUACAUUGACCUCAAAAAAACCCGAGGUCCUGCCUCUUGUCGUCGGUGACGCGUACAAAGUUUAGUAGGGCGGCGCUGAUACGGCCGUUGGCAGUUGAAGGUGUCAAGGCUUGCGCAGCGCGUGUAGAGCAAGAAGUUAUACUAAUAAUGAUACUAUACACAAUUAAUUUUUCUUAAGCUAUGCUUUUGGUUCCUGUAAGCCAGCGACUUCGGCAAUAUUUCAGAUACAUGUACGGAAACCUUAGAGGUGUUUUAAAAAAAUUACAUUUUAUUCAAAGAGAAUGGACGUAUUAGUUCACUAGUCGGAGAUAACAUCUACAUGCUGUAGAAAUAUUAUUAAACACGGAUUGGAUUUGUAGGCGGUAGAAGUGCGAGCGAGAGGUGUAACGGCUGAAUCUCUCUACAAUCUGCUAAAUGACUCGGGCCUGUCCAAAACUAAUAUCAAUUCUAUGGAAUAUAAUGAAAUGUACUUUGAAGGCUGCCCUAGUAGAUUCUUUUCAAAUUUGGUUAGGGAGAGAGAGGAGCUUGGACGGUGGAGGUGAGCGUUUAACGCGCUGUUAUAUGAGAGUUCCGUGAGGAGGUUUUAAAAAAGAAAUUUAAUUCAGUUAAAUUAAUAUUAUUUAAAUGAAACUAGUAUUUUUCGGAUUUACUACGCGGAUUUUAUUAUUUAAAAACUACAUAAUCCCGACGUUUCGGUUACUUUGCAGCAACCGUGAUCACGGGCAGACGAGGUGUGUGCAAAUUAAUAUUAUAUUAAUCGAAAUAGAAAUAACAAUGAUUUAGAAUUGUGACCGAGUCGUAUCGAGACUUACCACAGAGUGUGUCUUAAAUGAAAAAUAAAUGUCUUUAUUAAACA